GGACCCAUGGCGCAACGGUAGCGCGUUCGACUCCAGUUACGGGAGCAUCAUCGAAAGGUUAUCCGUUCAAAUCGGGUUGGGUUCA
rnacentral:tRNA from 1 species